GUGUACGUACAAGCAGUGGGAGCACCCUUUGGGGUGUGACUGCGUACCUUUUGUAUAAUGGGUCAGCGACUUAUAUUCUGUAGCAAGGUUAACCGUAUAGGGGAGCCGGAGGGAAACCGAGUCUUAACCGGGCGUUAAGUUGCAGGGUAUAGACCCGAAACCCGGUGAUCUAGCCAUGGGCAGGUUGAAGGUUGGGUAACACUAACUGGAGGACCGAACCGACUAAUGUUGAAAAAUUAGCGGAUGACCUGUGGCUGGGGGUGAAAGGCCAAUCAAACCGGGAGAUAGCUGGUUCUCCCCGAAAGCUAUUUAGGUAGCGCCUCGUGAAUUCAUCUCCGGGGGUAGAGCACUGUUUCGGCUAGGGGGCCAUCCCGGCUUACCAACCCGAUGCAAACUGCGAAUACCGGAGAAUGUUAUCACGGGAGACACACGGCGGGUGCUAACGUCCGUCGUGAAGAGGGAAACAACCCAGACCGCCAGCUAAGGUCCCAAAGUCAUGGUUAAGUGGGAAACGAUGUGGGAAGGCCCAGACAGCCAGGAUGUUGGCUUAGAAGCAGCCAUCAUUUAAAGAAAGCGUAAUAGCUCACUGGUCGAGUCGGCCUGCGCGGAAGAUGUAACGGGGCUAAACCAUG
rnacentral:rRNA from 1 species